CGCGCAGGCGGUCGUUCAAGUCGAGUGUGAAAGCCCCCGGCUCAACUGGGGAGGGUCACUCGAUACUGAUCGACUCGAAGGCAGAAGAGGGAAGCGGAAUCCCCGGUGUAGUGGUGAAAUGCGUAGAUAUCGGGAGGAACACCAGUGGCGAAGGCGGCUUUCUGGUCUGCUCUUGACGCUGAGGCGCGAAAGCUAGGGUAGCAAACG
rnacentral:rRNA from 1 species